rnacentral:rRNA from 1 species
AUAUUGGACAAUGGGCCACAAGCCUGAUCCAGCAAUUCUGUGUGCACGAUGAAGGUCUUCGGAUCGUAAAGUGCUUUCAGUUGGGAAGAAGAAAGUGACGGUACCAACAGAAGAAGCGACGGCUAAAUACGUGCCAGCAGCCGCGGUAAUACA